GACAAACGCUGGCGGUAUGCCUAAUACAUGCAAGUCGAACGGACAGAACAGGGAAUUUUUUCGGUGUGGAACUGGAAAGAUAGGGGCGUAAGGGGUGGGAACGCGGGGUCAACCUAGGGGGUAAAGGGGAAUAACCUCGACAAAUCGAAGCUAAUACCUUUUAAUAUCCUUUUUUCGCAUGAAGUAUGGAGUAACAGCGGCCUUAGCGCUUUCCGUACUAGAUUGGUCCGUGUGUGAGUAGCUAGUUGGCGAGGGAAAGGCUAACCAAGGCAACGAUCAGGAGCCGACCUGAGAGGGUGACCGGCCACAUUGGAACUGAGCAACGGCCCAAACUCCACCGGGAGGCACCAGUGGGGAAUCUUCCGCAAUGGGCGAAAGCCUGACGGAGAAAUGCCGCGUGAGUAAAGAAGGCUUUCGGGUUGUAAAACUCUGUCCUUAUGGAAGAGAGAGUGUUGUAGUAACUGACAAUACUAGGACGGUAGCUGAGGAGAAAGCCACGGCUAACUACGUG
rnacentral:rRNA from 1 species